rnacentral:rRNA from 1 species
CGGCUCAUCACAUCCUGGAGCUGUAGCAGGUUCCAAGGGUUCGGCUGUUCGCCGAUUAAAGUGGUACGUGAGCUGGGUUUAGAACGUCGUGAGACAGUUCGGUCUCUAUCCGCCGUGGGCGCAGGAGAAUUGAGGGAAUCUGCUUCUAGUACGAGAGGACCGAAGUGGACGAACCGCUGGUGCACCAGUUGUUUCAUCAGAAGCAUCGCUGGGUAGCUACGUUCGGAAAGGAUAAGCGCUGAAAGCAUAUAAGUGCGAAACCUGUCCCAAGAUUAGUUCUCCCUAUCUUUAUGAUAAUAAGGCUCGUUGUAGACUACAACGUUGAUAGGCCACAAGUGUAAGUACAGUAAUGUAUUCAGCUGAGUGGUACUAAUUGGCCGAAAGGCUUUAUCAA